rnacentral:lncRNA from 1 species
UCGUUUCCAAACGUUGGUAUCCGGCGGCGAUGUCUUUAAAAAAAAAGGGAAAGAAUAAGGAGUUUCUAGAGAUGAAACUGAGAAGAUAACACGUGGCGGAUGGAUUACGUGGCAUGUAGAGGAGAGCAGGCACGUGUAGUUUAGAAUGGUAAGUUCUGGUUUAUUCUACUUUUGUUUUUAAUUCAAUUUAUUACUUCAUCGUUAUCUUUGUUUUUGUGUAGUCGAGAUGCGCCUAGAACCAUGGGGAAUAAUCUCUCUUCACAACUCAACAAACUCCCCAUCCCUUCGUUUCUUGGAAAGCGCUUACUUUCCUUUUGCCUUUUUGUUCUUUUAACCUUAUGACUAGUGAUGAAUUCUCGUAUUUCAAAGCUAAGUUUUACAAGUCACUAUUAUACUAACACAUUUUAUGUAAUUCAAAUUUUAGUAU